AUAAAACUAAUUUAAUGCAAUUAUGUACUAAUUGCAUGUUAUUACAGGCAGCAGAGAUCCCAUGCUGUGGUUCAAGUGGACCCUGCUUUGAGCUUGUUGAAACUAGUAAACGUUUUUCAACUACCUGAAGUACCAGUCUUGGGAAAAUGUGAAGCUUAUAUCCACAAUGGAGUACUAUGGAUAGUAAUAUCAAGUGUGGACAAAGACUUGGUUAAAACGAUUCGUGUGGACCUCCUCACGUCAAGUCUGGAUAUACCUCAAGUUCUCCAAGUAAAUGGAAUAGUAGGGGGAAUGCAUCUAUUUGAAGAUGGCGGCAGUUUGUAUUUGGUGAUGGGCAUAAGAAGUUCCGCUCCGGGAAAAGCACAUGAACCUUCUUCAAGUCUCUACAAACUAGUGGGUCACCACUUCGAUAAGCAGGAUGAAAUUUCGUUCAGAUGUCAAAAUGUAACUAGCAUAACUGGCUUCAAAAACAGAGGAGAAUAUACUUGGUCUUUGGCACAUCUAAUGUUGACGGUACCCAUGUGUAUAAAUUUAUGAAGCAUUAAAUACCAUGUAUUUAACCCAAAAUACUAAAUGAGAUGGAAGUCGCUAGCACUGCAUACUUCUAUGAGCAGCAAGAGGGGAAACAUUAUGUAAUUCUAAAUAUUGGUGCUGAAGCAGUGGUCUACCGUUGGGAAGGUCUAGGGUUCUCCAAUGGCAAACGUUGGAAACCGCAGAACUCUGUACCCGCUAUUACAAGCAUACAGUCUUUCACUUUUCCAUCGCUAGAACUAUUCUCAUGACUGCCCGUGGGGACAGUGUAUCCUUUUAUACAGAUGAGUGUAUGGUUAUUUCAAGCCUAGCUUUGUAAUGCAAACGCACUGCCACUCCAUAAUAAUCUUCUCAUGAAGAGACUAAGCAAUACUUAUGUGAUUGUGUAUGUCUGUAAGGAAGGUGUAAAAAGCAGUCUCGACUCUAGGGAAGUGAUCAUGGACGAAGUAAACCUAGAGAAACCAAAAGACGGGGAAGAUCUUCUUCUCGAGUGUCUUGUCGACUUGCAAGCAGACUGGAUGGCAGAAAACCAACAAUUUCUCUGCUUGAACAAGCAAUUGCAGAUGAAAUUGUGAUGACUAA